rnacentral:rRNA from 1 species
UACGUAGGGGGCAAGCGUUGUCCGGAAUUAUUGGGCGUAAAGAGCGUGUAGGCGGCCAGAUAAGUCCGCUGUGAAAUCUCGAGGCUCAACUUCGAGCUGUCGGUGGAAACUAUCCGGCUAGAGUCCGGAAGAGGAGAAUGGAAUUCCUGGUGUAGCGGUGAAAUGCGCAGAUAUCAGGAGGAACACCGGUGGCGAAGGCGGGUCUCUGGGCCGUAACUGACACUGAGGGACGAAAGCUAGGGGAGCGAAUGGG